rnacentral:lncRNA from 1 species
GUCGCCGACUCGCCGUUCAGUUGAUGUGAAUUAGCCAUGGUCACCACUGAAGCAAGUUAUUUUCACUACAGCAUUUCUUAGAAGGUAGGCAGUACACAGGUUUGCUAUACGUGAGUGCACUGGCUGCUGGAUGUGGCAUGUUUUAACUUUUAACUUCAGCAGUCUUCGAGGGAAGAAGUUUCUAAUUAUUUUGAAGACCAACCCAUACAUCUCUUCAAGGUUGUUGCUGGGCCUGCAUGACAACUCGUCGAGUAGCAGAGGCCAAGGCGAGGGGAGGACAUAGCUUCAUUCUGGAAGUUUGCCCCACUAACAAGCCCGGAGGGCAAGAUUCAGGAAUCCUGCCAACCCUGCCAACGCUGUUCAGCCCGCCGACCCUGUCGACCCUGCAAACCCUGAAGAUGAUGAAUAACGACACUGCA